GCCGAAGAGGUGGAGCCGUAGCGAAAGCGAGUCUUAAAAGGGCGACAAGUCGCAUGCUGUAGACCCGAAACCGGGCGAUCUAUCCAUGGACAGGGUGAAGCGGGAGUAACGUUCCGUGGAGGCCCGAACCACACUGGUGUUGAAAAACCAGGGGAUGAGCUGUGGAUAGGGGUGAAAAGCCAAUCGAGCUCGGAGAUAGCUGGUUCUCCCCGAAAUAGCUUUAGGGCUAGCCUCGGGGGUUUGUUUGCGGAGGUAGAGCACUGAUUGGGCUAGGGGCCCUGAAAGGUUGCUGACCCCUUUCAAACUCCGAAUGCCGCAAACUUGUACCCCGGGAGUCAGACUGUGGGGGCUAAGCUCCAUAGUCGAGAGGGAAACAGCCCAGAUCGCCAGCUAAGGUCCCUAAUUGACGUCUAAGUGGCAAAGGAUGUGGAGUUGCUCAGACAACCAGGAUGUUGGCUUAGAAGCAGCCAAUCAUUUAAAGAGUGCGUAAUAGCUCACUGGUCGAGUGGAGCCGCGCCGAAAAUGUCCGGGGCUUAAGUCGUCAACCGAAGCUGCGGAACUCAUGUAAAUGGGUUGGUAGGGGAGCGUUGCCUGCUGGUAGAAGCAUGACCGUAAGGACGUGUGGACGGCAGGGAAGUGAGAAUGCCGGUAUGAGUAGCGAAAAGGCAGGUGAGAAUCCUGCCCGCCGAAAGCCUAAGGUUUCCUGAGGAAGGUUCGUCCACUCAGGGUAAGCCGGGACCUAAGCCGAGGCCGAAAGGCGUAGGCGAUGGACAACUGGUUGAAAUUCCAGUGCUGCCUCGAUCACGUUUGAGGGAUGUGGGGACGCAGAAGGGUAGGCUCAGCAGGCUGAUGGAAUAGCCUGUCCAAGCGAGUAGGGUGCCAGGCAGGCAAAUCCGCCUGGCGCAAAGCCUGAGACGCAAGUGGGUGCGGAUACGUCCGCUGAACUGGCCGAUCCCAAGCUGCCAAGAAAAGCCGCUACCGAGUGAUCAGGCACCCGUACCGCAAACCGACACAGGUAGGCGGGGUGAGAAUCCUAAGGCGCGCGAGAGAACCCUCGUUAAGGAACUCGGCAAAAUGACCCCGUAACUUUGGGAGAAGGGGUGCCCCGUCAGGGUGGAAGGCUUCGCGCCUCGAGCCCGAGGGGGUCGCAGAGAAACGGCCCGAGCGACUGUUUACCAAAAACACAGGUCUCUGCUAAGUCGAAAGACGAAGUAUAGGGGCUGACGCCUGCCCAGUGCCGGAAGGUUAAGGAGAAGGCUUAGCGUAAGCAAAGGUCUGAACCGAAGCCCCGGUGAACGGCGGCCGUAACUAUAACGGUCCUAAGGUAGCGAAAUUCCUUGUCGGGUAAGUUCCGACCUGCACGAAUGGCGUAACGACUUGGGCGCUGUCUCAACGAGGGACUCGGCGAAAUUGUAAGUACCCGUGAAGAUACGGGUUACCCACGACAAGACGGAAAGACCCCAUGGAGCUUUACUGUAGCCUGAGAUUGGAUCUUGGCAAAGCAUGUACAGAAUAGGUGGGAGGCUUGGAUACCUGGGCGCUAGUCUAGGUGGAGCCACCAUUGGGAUACCACCCUUGUUUUGCCGGGUUUCUAACCCCGGACCGUGAUCCGGCCAGGGGACAUUCUCUGGUGGGCAGUUUGACUGGGGCGGUCGCCUCCCAAAAGGUAACGGAGGCGCCCAAAGGUUCCCUCAGCGCGGUUGGAACUCGCGCGAAGAGUGUAAGGGCAGAAGGGAGCUUGACUGCGAGAGGUACAUCUCGAGCAGGGACGAAAGUCGGGCUUAGUGAUCAGGUGGUUCUGAGUGGAAGGGCCAUCGCUUAACGGAUAAAAGCUACCCUGGGGAUAACAGGCUUAUCUCCCCCAAGAGUCCACAUCGACGGGGAGGUUUGGCACCUCGAUGUCGGCUCAUCGCAUCCUGGGGCUGAAGUAGGUCCCAAGGGUUGGGCUGUUCGCCCAUUAAAGCGGUACGCGAGCUGGGUUC
rnacentral:rRNA from 1 species